GGGAGAGAUAGGGAAACAGACCAUUUUUUCUCUCAGUCACAACUACUGUGAGCUCAGAGCUGAACUGCCAGGCCUCUAGAAUAAAUUCAGAGGAUUUAUUCUUCCAACAAGGGCCAGAAAACUGACAGAAUCACAGGCAAGAAUAAUAUCUGUUCAAGUCAAUGUUUAGAAUAUUAGAAGUGUGAAGACAUUUUAUUAGCAAAUCCACCAGAUUUUCUCCUUAAGGUAAGAAAUUGUGCUCUAUUUUUUUCUCCUUCCUUUUUCUUUCUUUCUUUCUCUCUUUCUUUCUCUUUCUCUCUCUCUCUUUCUUUCAGAGUCUCACUCUAUUGCCCAGGCAAUCUCAGUUCACUGCAACCUCCACCUCCUAGGUUCAAGUGAUUCUCCUGCCUCAGCCUCCUGAGUAGCUGGGAUUACAGGCAUGCACCUCCAUGCCCAGCUAAUUUUUGUAUUUUUAGUACAGAGAAGGUUUCAUCAUGUUGACCAGGCUGGUCUCAAACUUCUGACCUCAGGUGAUCCACCCACUUUGGCCUCCCAAAGUGCUGGGAUUACAGGCAUGAGCCACCACGCCCAGCUAUUUAGUUUUAAAUCCUGGGAUGGAGCCCAGUGUCUGACACAGAGAGAUGCUCAAUAAAUGUUUGCUAGGGCCAGGCAUGGUGGCUCAUGCCUGUAAUACCAGCACUUCAGAAGGCCAAGGCAGGAGAAUCAUUUGAGCCCAAGAGUCCGAGACCAGCCUGGGCAAUAUAGCAAGAUCCCCAUCUCUACAAAAAAAAAUUUAAAACAAUUAUAUUGAAAAGCUUACUAGGAUAAAAUUGAAGGCAAGAGCUGAGUCUUGCACAAUUUUGUAUUCCAUUCAGUGCCCAGCACUAAGUGAAUGAGUGCCUGCAGGCAUUAAUGAAUGAAAAAUGCACUUUUUGAUUUGCCUUUGAAGGAAAGCAUAUGCCUUUGCAAGCAGUGGUAUCAUCUUCCUAAUUAUCCAAGAAGUCUGUGUUCUCUUCUUAAUUUCAUUUUGAUUUUGUUCCCUUAAGAAGACAGAGCUUUUGCUAAACGAAUCUGGCUACUAAAAAGAAACAGUUCUGCUGGCUUUUCUUCUUCCUCAUGUAGUGGCAAACAGUCCUGAACUUCUGGAUCUGUCAAGGUAUUUCCUAUGUUCCUGUCUGGGCACAGGUCAGGAUUCUCCCAGGAGCUGGUCUCAUUUGCCUUCAGCUUUCCUGGUCCUCCUGUCGAAUCUCACCUCUCCUCCUUGUUCUUUGUUUUGCCCCAGUUGAGUUUUAAUCCCUUUUGCCCAGCAGCUCCCUCCUCUCCCAGUACAGUAAAUCUCAUCUCUCUCAGUGUAGCACAUUAGCACAUUUACGUGGAAAGUAUUUAAUACAUAUGGAUCAUAUGGGUAGCCAAGAAAGUACAUGGUCUGUGGGGGGGAAACUGAAGUAGGAGCAGGGAGAGGCAAGAACCUUUUCUCAAAAGAGUCCUGAGUGUGGCCAGGCACGGUGGCUCACACCUGUAAUCCCAGCACUUUGGAAGGCCAAAGGAGGUGAAUCAUUUGAGGUCAAGAGUUCAAGACAAACCUGGCCAAUAUGGUGAAACCCGGUCUCUACUAAAAAUACAAAAAUUAGCCAGGCAGUGGUGGCGCAUGCCUGUAAUCCCAGCUACUUGGGAGGCUGAGGCUCGAGAAUUGCUUGAGCUUGGGAG
rnacentral:lncRNA from 10 species